GUGCGCCACCACGCCCAGCUUGUUUGUUUAUUUUUUGAGACAGUUUUUUUUUUUUUUGUUAGCUUUGGCUGUCCUGGAAAACAAUGUGUAAAUCAGAUUGGCCUCAAAUUCAUAGAGAUUUGAUUCCCUCUGCUUCCCAAGUGCUGGGAUUAAAGGCGUGUGCCACCACGCCCGGCUAAACUUUGCAUUUCUAAUGGGAAGAGUUUCCAUUAUACUACUAAUUGGAAAAUGAGACUUAACUCUUGCUGCAUGCUAUUAAAAAAAGAAAGGGGGAGAGAGAGAGAGAGUCAGGAGCUGUAGACUCUUCCUAAAUAGCACAACUGAAGGUUUUGGGUCUAUUUUCCCCACACCCUCUCCUGACUUCCUUCCUUGGAAGAAUUUGUUUUGGACAAGGUGUAAUUUUAGUUCUGUCAUUGUCCUUUGCUUUAUCCAAAGUUCUGGCUGAGGAGGGAGGAUAGCUUCCUUUCCAAGUUCCUGUAGACUUCUUGGAGUCCGGGUGUUCCCACUUAAUAUUACUGUUCAGAUCAGAGUAAUUCUUUGUUGUUGUUUUGAGACAGUUUGUCUUAAUCAGAGUUUUUCAACCUGUGGGUUGAGACUCUUUAAGGAGUCGAAUGACCCUUUCAUGGGGGUUGUAUAUCAGAUAUCCUACAUAACAGAUAUUUACAUUAUAACUCAUAAUAGUAGCAAAAUUUUAGUUAUGAGGUAGCACUGAAAAUAGUUUUAUGUGGGGUCACCACAUCUGAGAAACUAUGUUAGUUAUUCAGAAUUAGGAUGACUAAGAAUCACUGUUUUAAAUAGUCCUGGCUGGCCUAGAACUUUCUAUGUAAGUCAGGCUACCCUGGACUCACAGAGUUCUGUCCCCUGAGAACUGGGAUUAAUGGUGUACACCACCAUUAAUGAGGAGUCAUUAAUGUGUCUCAAAAGUUAGAUUUCAAGUUUGUAUUUCAACUCUCAUUCUGACCUGGUUCUAGAUAAAAUAAAUCUUGAGGAUUGGGAAGUGAGCUGACUUACAAUCAUCACAUAUUCCACAGGAGAGAUCAGGUUAAGUCCUUAGAACAGAAGUGCCUGCUGUUCAAGGACUAGUUCCUGUGCUUUCUAGAUGCUAAUGUAGAGUAAGUAGAGUGGUCAGGCUGGAGGCUAUGGUGACUUUAACGGAGAGGUCUCACAGUGGUAAUUGUGCCCUAGUAUGUAUGACACAACUCUGGGUUCUUUCUUCUCUGUAGUAAGUAGCCUAUGGGUUGUUUUGUUUUGUUUUGUUUUGUUGAGACAAGGUUUCUCUGUGUAGCCUUGGCUGCUCUAGAACUCACUCUGUGAACCAGGCUGGCCUCAAAUUCAUAGAGAUCACCUACCUCUGCCUCCUAGAAUUAAAGGCGUAGCCAGCACUGCUUACCUGAAAACCCUGUGUUUUAACCCAGAGUAACCUCCUCUUCCCGAACUCUUAGUCUGUUCUAAUAUCCAUUGCUCUUCUCGGGAAUGUCUGGUAAGUCUGAGUGUUUUCGAGCCACAUGUUGUCCACACUGAGUUACUACUGUAGGCAGCUCUCCAGGGCCUGGAUAUCUGAUGUUGCCAAACAUUGGUACCCUGGCCUUAGGCCUUAACUGCUGUUCCCAGGAAUCAUCUGUAUCUCACACUACUUUUGUUUUCCUUAUCUUCCUAGACCCUCUUAGUUAAUUUUUAUUUGGAUAUUUAUAUUUAUAUGGAUGUCUGUAUACUACUUGGGUGCCUUUUGGGUAAAAUGCCAGAAGGGAAUGUUGAAUCCCAUGGAACUGGAGUUACAGACAGUUGUGAACUCCCUGUGGGUGUUUGGGAUUGAACCCAAGUCAUCUGGGAGAACAGCAGCUCUUAACCUGUGGGCUGACUGUCCAGGACCCUCUUAUUCACAAGAGCGUUCACUGAGGAAUCCCUUGUGUUAGGCCAAGCUUUGACCUCUGAUGAAUUGCAGACUUGCUUAGAAAAUUGCCCAUUGCUUGGGUAACGAUUGUGGACAACGACUGAACACCAUCUAUCCACAGGAGAGAAGACUACAGUUUUACAAGCAGCCAGGGAUGCCAGAGACCUGUUAGUAAAGGAAAGAGGUCCCAGAGAAGGUACAUCUGUGAUUUAUGUGAAGUUCAGAGGUAGUAAACUGCCUGGUGUGGUGGCUCAGACCUUUAAUUACUACCUGCAGUUGAGAGGCAGAGGUAGGCAGAUUUCUGAGUUCCAGGCCAGCUAGGGCUACACAGCAGUGAUACAGUAAGAGCCCGUC
rnacentral:lncRNA from 1 species